rnacentral:rRNA from 1 species
AUGGUGAAGAGUGCGUAUAAAUUGGCAGACGCUCUAAAAAGACAAGGAACUAAACUCCCCCCAAGCUCGGCAAGUGGUCCCGGUGAUAGGAAAAUUUGGGAUGUGAUCUGGAAAGCCCGCGUGCCGGAGAAAGUCAAGAUUUUUGGCUGGCAAGUGGCAACUAAUUCGUUAGCCACAAAGCACAAUCUUUUCAGAAGGACAAUUGUUAACGAAGAUGUGUGUGACAUCUGUGGAAUGGAGAGAGCGGAUGAGUUCCAUGCAGUCAUCACAUGUACCAAAAGCAAAGCCCUGCGUUGUGCUCUAAGGACAAAAUGGGAAAUCCUGAAAGAGUGUGAGUUCAGAUUCACAGGCAGAGAUUGGCUGCAGAUGCUUCUAUUGAAGAACCCAGAGAUGAUCAGAAGCCGGAUUCUGCUAAUACUUUGGAAGGCUUGGCAUCUAAGAAAUAAUAUAGUUCAUGGGGAUGGAAGAGAAACAGUGAAGGGAGCGGUGCAACAGCUGAUUAGACUCGAGGAGGACGUGCACAUGGCCAUGCAGAAGGAAGCACGGGACAACAGUAAAACUACAGUAUCCCUGUUUUGUAGCAAUCCUUGCAAACCAGUCUCGUUAGUGUCCAAUCAGUGGGAAGCACCCAAUCCGGGUACGGUGAAACUGAAUUGCGAUGCGGCAUUUGACGCUGAGACUGGAGACACGUGGGGGGGCGCAGUCGCCAGAGACCACAGGGGGCUGGUUUUUGUGGCUGUCGGGCGGCGCCUGAACCAAUGCCAAUCAGUGGAAGAAGCGGAAGCCUCGGUACACUCAAGGUUUUGGUUACCGAAUGAGGCAUUUUUACCCGGGGGGACUGGUAAACGCGGUUACCACGGUUACCGAGAAAUACCGAUAAAUACCAAGAAUAUUUCGAACGAAUUUCAUAGUUGA